ensembl:rRNA 5S_rRNA 5S ribosomal RNA
GCCAGCAGCCAUAUCACCCUGCAACUCACAACUGGCAGCCCACUGAAGCUAAGCAGGUGUGAGCCUGGUCAGUACCUGGAUGGGAGACCUCCUGGGAAAAACUAAGGUUGCUGCAGGAA